UACGAAGGGGGCUAGCGUUGCUCGGAAUCACUGGGCGUAAAGGGUGCGUAGGCGGGUCUUUUAAGUCAGGGGUGAAAUCCUGGAGCUCAACUCCAGAACUGCCUUUGAUACUGAAGAUCUUGAGUUCGGGAGAGGUGAGUGGAACUGCGAGUGUAGAGGUGAAAUUCGUAGAUAUUCGCAAGAACACCAGUGGCGAAGGCGGCUCACUGGCCCGAUACUGACGCUGAGGCGCGAAAGCUAGGGGAGCAAACGGG
rnacentral:rRNA from 1 species